GACGAACGCUGGCGGCGUGCCUAACACAUGCAAGUCGAGCGGAGACGGAUUUGAGCUUGCUUGAAUCUGGUUUUAGCGGCGGACGGGUGAGUAACGCGUGAGCAACCUUUCUCUCAGUGGGGAAUAACACAGGGAAACUUGUACUAAUACCGCAUGAGACCACGCUACCGCAUGGUAGAGGGGUCAAAGAUUAAUCGCUGAGAGGUGGGCUCGCGUCUGAUUAGCUAGUUGGUGAGGUAACGGCUCACCAAGGCGACGAUCAGUAGCCGGUCUGAGAGGAUGAACGGCCACAUUGGGACUGAGAUACGGCCCAGACUCCUACGGGAGGCAGCAGUGGGGAAUAUUGGGCAAUGGGGGAAACCCUGACCCAGCAACGCCGCGUGAAGGAAGAAGGCUUUCGGGUUGUAAACUUCUUUUACCAGGGACGAAGACGUGACGGUACCUGGAGAAAAAGCCACGGCUAACUACGUG
rnacentral:rRNA from 1 species